rnacentral:lncRNA from 1 species
AGCACUCUGCUUUGUCUCCGGUCGGUAUCUCUCUUUGACUCUGAAUCCCUCUGUGUAUCUCUCUCUUCCUAUGGUCUUCUGUCCCUCAGAGCAGCAGUUUGCAUCUCUCAAAAAGGCCAGAGGACCAGGAGUUGCUUGUACAGGCGGCAUGAAAAAGACCAGCUGGGGAGGGGAGUUCCUUCAACGGGCCCAUGCCCUUUGCUGUCCUCCCUACAGGACCCCCAUCUUUGGGUCUGACCAGGCUGCAUCCUCACAGUCUAAUGGCAUCUUAACUCAGAUUUACAAGCCAACUUUCCCACCUCUGCAACGCUAAAGGCAUCAGAGAGAGCUAGCUCCUUCUGCAAGGUGUAGCCAGUGCUGAUCAGCAUGACCCGUGUGGACCUCCUAAGCUACAGGUAUCACAAGGCUCACACCCUUUGGGUACUGUUGCAGAACCAAGUGGAAUGGCUUGAGUCUAGUUGGGGCCGCUGCUGUGCUCAUCCUUCUUGUUGCAGAGGCUUCAUCCCCCUUCCUGACCUCAGGCGAGCAGCUCCAGUGAAAGCCAGGCAGGCUCCCCCCCCCCACACCCCCACCUCUGGACACCUGGCUUUUAACAGAGGGACUGCCUCCUGCAUGGUGCUGGUGGUGGUCUGUUGGAAGGGCCCUGCCUGACCUUCAUCAGAGCACCCGCAUGUUCCUUCCCUUGCCCCACUCACCCCUCCAGUCCUGUUACCAGGCCAGAUGAUGACAGGGCUUACAUUGAUUUUUCUCACCCACACCGGCCCC